CAAUUUUGCAUUACAAGCAAGCUAUCAAUUGUGAUUCUACCUUUAUUGAAGCUUACAAUAACUGGGGAAUGCUCUCAAAGACACUGGACAUGCUCUCAAAGACGCUGGACAUUAUAGGUCAUGCUUUGCUUUACAACCUAACCAUCCACAAGCAUUGUCAAGCCUUGGCAGCAU